AAUGAAAUCUCCUGAUGAGUCAAAUGUGUAAAUAGAAAAAGAGUGAAAACCUUCGACUCACCAAUACUAAACCAAUACAAAACCCAUAAGUGCACUCUGCCUUUGACUUCAUAUUUUCAUAUUUCCUUUUCUAUCUUAUUGGACUUUCAUGAAUCACCCUCCUCGUCCAUUAUCAUUACCUCGUAUUAUUAACUCUCUCACACGACACACG